rnacentral:lncRNA from 10 species
GCACUUCCGCUGGCUGGGUAUCCGCGGCAAGUUCAGAUCAUUAGUUGGCUGGAGUUAAUUAACCACCAGACAAUUAGCUUAUCUUUUUCCCGAUCCUAAGACCAGCUGGAUUGGUGAGGAGGAACUAGAGACAACAGCUUCCUUCUGAGUCACCUUGAGGCAGCAGCCACUGGGGAAAUGCAGGGAAGGACACUACCCAGGCUUCCUGGAGGGGUUGGCCCCAGGGCAUGCCCUGCUUGGGCGGAAAAGCUUGGAGUUUAGAUGAGGAAGCCUGAAUUCUCCUCUAGACCUCCUGCCAACUCUUUGCCUGACCUUGGGCAAAACAUUUAACUCUCUUCUGGGCCUUGGUUUCUUUAGCAAACACUGACGCCUGCUUCUCCGGCUCGCCCCCGCGCCCCACUCCCCCCACCGCUUUUUAAAUGUUUAUUAUUUUUUUAAUCAUGGUUUUAUUAGGUUGGUGCAAAAGUAACUGCGGUUUUUAUCAUUACUUUCAAUGGCAUAAUAGAAUGGGACUCUAUUUGCUGCCAGAUUGGGAAUUCUAAGGGUAUAAAUAUGUAUUAAUAAAUAUUAUGACCUUUAAAAUUUUAAAACAAAUGCAAAACCUGCAGCAUUUUUCGGGAAUUGAUUCUCUGUACAUAAAAAUGAGAUUAGUCAAUCCUUUUGGUGUCUGUUUAGCAUACAAUGAGUACAUCCAGAUAGUUAAGACCCUUGGAAUCAAGAUUAAGAGAACCAUCAAUUAAGGAGGCAGUGCGCACCUCUCCAGGGAAAUUUACUCCAGUGCUUCAUCCUACCUCAUUGGACACAGCCGACCGUGUUGGUCCUGGUUCCCUCUUCAAAUGCUGGCUCCUGGAAAUAGCAUCAAAGCAAGCAGCUGAUAAGACAAAACUGGGUUGUUGCUUAUGCUAAGGGGAAGCACCACCUUGAAAGAGUCAUUGUAGAGUGGAGGUCGGGAGGGCAAAGUUGAGAUACUGAGGUUUUGGGGUUUGGUUUAAGGCAGGUCCUUUGAUGUCGGACUUAAUCAGGGCUGGGUAAGGAUCAUGUUAUAAUAGUUUAGGAUUGUUGGUCACAGUUUUGUAUUGGUGGUCACAGUGAAGUGAGGGCUUCAAAGACUCUUGGAGCUUUCUUUGAUGCUCCCUGUUGAAGAGCUGUGUGGUUUUAUUAAUGGAUUUUCCUGAACUCAAGGAGUAAGGUUAUUUGCAACUUUUGUGUUUCUGGGCAAGCAUUUCCUGGAAUAAUAAAGUCACAAUAAUAGA